CUUCCGUCCUUCAGUUCUGGUGGUGAUCCCCGCCAACCUCACCUGUGACUCUUACGAUGCAAUAUUGAAAGGCCUGGAGAACGCUUUGGUGGUUCUCCCAUCUGGACUUGGAGUGGAGCUGAAGUCAAGCAUAGACGAACUUCGACAGUCACCACCAGAAGGCUGCACGCCUCC